rnacentral:rRNA from 1 species
GCCCUACGGGAGGCAGCAGUGGGGAAUAUUGCACAAUGGGGGGAACCCUGAUGCAGCGACGCCGCGUGGGUGAAGGAGUAUUUCGGUAUGUAAAGCCCUAUCAGCAGGGAAGAACAAUGACGGUACCUGACUAAGAAGCACCGGCUAAAUACGUGCCAGCAGCCGCGGUAAUACGUAGGGGGCAAGCGUUAUCCGGAUUUACUGGGUGUAAAGGGAGCGUAGACAGCGGCGCAAGUCCGGAGUGAAAGCCCACGGCCCAACCGUGGGGCUGCUCUGGAAACUGGG